AGGUGUUGCAUGGCUGUCGUCAGCUCGUGUCGUGAGAUGUUCGGUUAAGUCCGCUAACGAGCGCAACCCUCGUCGUAUGUUAUAUGUGUCAUACGAGACUGCCGGUAAAAGCCGGAGGAAGGUGAGGAUGAUGUCAAGUCAGCAUGACCUUUAUAUCCAGGGCUACACACACGCUACAAUGGUCUGUACAAUGGGUAGCCAAGCCGCGAGGCGGAGCCAAUCCUGAAAGCAGGCCUCAGUUCAGAUUGCAGUCUGCAACUCGACUGCAUGAAGCCGGAGUUGCUAGUAACCGCAGGUCAGCAAUACUGCGGUGAAUACGUUCCCGGGUCUU
rnacentral:rRNA from 1 species